GUGGAUGAGGCAUGCAAGUCGAACGAAGGUUUAUAGCAAUAUAAACUUGAGUGGCGGAAGGGUUAGUAAUACAUAAAUAAGCCACCUUUUACCUGGGGAUAGCGUCUGGAAACGGGCGAUAAUACCGAAUGAGGCUACUAACUGGCAUCAGUUAGGAGUGAGAGGAGGGGACUUCGGAGACGGAGCCUUGCGGUAAGAGAGGUGUUUAUGGGAUAUCAGCUAGUUGGUGUGGUAAAAGCGCACCAAGGCUAAGACGUCUAGGCGGAUUGAGAGAUUG
rnacentral:rRNA from 1 species